UCAUAAGCCGCAAUGAUAACAAUGUUCAAACUGAAUCUAACUUUUUUAACUUCUUAUUUAUUUUGAAGAGUAUAUCUGUCAAAUUAUUUGUUUUUUUCAUAUUUUUGUUGUAGUGCGCUCUAUAGUUUUAUGCUGAUUAGUCCCAUUCGGCGUGCUUGUUGUUGACGUUUUGGCAAUUUUCAACAGUCGUCUGCUGUAGUUUUUGUCAGUUUAACCAGAGUUGUCGCCAAUUGAUAGCUGUCAGAAUCCUUGAUUAUAUUCUAUUCAAGCUUAUUUUCAUGGUGAAAGUUUUCUUCGUAAAUUUGUUAGUUGUGUUUCUUUUAAUGUUCUAAACGACUGUCGUUUGUCAUUUGUUUUCAAAUGAAUAAUUAUGUUUGUGAAGCAAACGAUAUGUUUUCUUUUCUAAGAAACUUGUUGUAGACAUCUGUUUUUUUCCUUAAUUUGGAAAGGUGUGUUGACUGAAAAGAUGUUUUUCACUGGAGGAUCUGGGUAUAUCGGAAGCCCCUGUGUAGUUGAGCUUAUGGAACUGGCUAUCUGGUUAUUUCUUGCGAGAAGUUUGGGAAGAUUGGCUGCUUCUGGAAGUGAUAGCAUUCAGCUAAGCCGAGUAAUAAAAGAAAUAACCUUAACAUUGCCAAGGAAUAAGUCAUUGGAAAGAAUAAUUCGCUAUACAGUAGCGAAGAAGUUAACGGCGAAGAAGUUAAAUCUCAAGAACAGAGCUGAGAAACACCCAAUUGAUAAUUCUCCCAGCAAAGAUUCAUCAAGUAGUUCAUUCAGGGCUGAUAAAGAGAAGUAAAAGUUGCAGAAGGAGCUGUUGUCUUCUGUUGUCUCUGCAGUCGAGCUUAUGUCUCAAGUUGAGUCAGCCUACAAAGAAAGGGCCAGUUAAAACGUACACCAAGCAAGUAGAAAAGUUAGAUUUGCACUUUCAUGAGUACACACUCUAAGUGGAAGAGCUCAACAGCAUAUUAUCGACAUCAGCAGCCACAAAACUCGUUUGUAUACUUUUAGACAACGAUUAAUUUACAAUUUGUUAAAGGAAAAUGAUCACAAUAAAUUUAUUUGGUCAACAGGAAAACAUUGAAGCAAGGAAGUUCGAUAGCUGAAAUUCAGCUACGAAAAUAUCAGCUAUUUGAAGACCAACUCAGCUUAAGCCAAAUC